rnacentral:rRNA from 1 species
UAACGGCGUCGAGCGGCGGACGGGUGAGUAAUGCCUAGGAAAUUGCCUUGAUGUGGGGGAUAACCAUUGGAAACGAUGGCUAAUACCGCAUAAUGCCUACGGGCCAAAGAGGGGGACCUUCGGGCCUCUCGCGUCAAGAUAUGCCUAGGUGGGAUUAGCUAGUUGGUGAGGUAAUGGCUCACCAAGGCGACGAUCCCUAGCUGGUCUGAGAGGAUGAUCAGCCACACUGGAACUGAGACACGGUCCAGACUCCUACGGGAGGCAGCAGUGGGGAAUAUUGCACAAUGGGCGAAAGCCUGAUGCAGCCAUGCCGCGUGUAUGAAGAAGGCCUUCGGGUUGUAAAGUACUUUCAGUUGUGAGGAAGGGGGUGUCGUUAAUAGCGGCAUCUCUUGACGUUAGCAACAGAAGAAGCACCGGCUAACUCCGUGCCAGCAGCCGCGGUAAUACGGAGGGUGCGAGCGUUAAUCGGAAUUACUGGGCGUAAAGCGCAUGCAGGUGGUU